rnacentral:rRNA from 1 species
UCCUACGGGAGGCAGCAGUGGGGAAUAUUGGACAAUGGGGGGAACCCUGAUCCAGCCAUGCCGCGUGUGUGAAGAAGGCCCUCGGGUUGUAAAGCACUUUCAGCGAGGAAGAACGCCUAGCGGUUAAUACCCGCUAGGAAAGACAUCACUCGCAGAAGAAGCACCGGCUAACUCCGUGCCAGCAGCCGCGGUAAUACGGAGGGUGCAAGCGUUAAUCGGAAUUGCUGGGCGUAAAGCGCGCGUAGGUGGCUUGAUAAGCCGGUUGUGAAAGCCCCGGGCUCAACCUGGGAACGGCAUCCGGAACUGUCAAGCUAGAGUGCAGGAGAGGAAGGUAGAAUUCCCGGUGUAGCGGUGAAAUGCGUAGAGAUCGGGAGGAAUACCAGUGGCGAAGGCGGCCUUCUGGACUGACACUGACACUGAGGUGCGAAAGCGUGGGUAGCAAACAGGAUUAGAUACCCUGGUAGUCCACGCCGUAAACGAUGUCGACCAGCCGUUGGGUGCCUAGCGCACUUUGUGGCGAAGUUAACGCGAUAAGUCGACCGCCUGGGGAGUACGGCCGCAAGGUUAAAACUCAAAUGAAUUGACGG